AUACGGAAGGUCCGGGCGUUAUCCGGAUUUAUUGGGUUUAAAGGGAGCGCAGGCGGAGAUGCAAGCGUGACGUCAAAUUUCGGGGCUCAACCCCGUCUCGCGUCGCGAACUGCGUCCCUUGGUUGCGGGAAGGGGAGGCGGAACUCGGGGUGUAGCGGGGGAAUGCAUAGAUAUCACGAAGAACUCCGAUCGCGAAGGCAGCCUUCCGGCCCGUCAACGACGCUCAUGCUCGAAGGUGCGGGUAUCAAACAGGAUUAGAUACCCUGGUAGUCCGCACAGUAAACGAUGGACACCCGCGGUUUGGCCUGUAUGGCUGAGCCGCCAAGCGAAAGCGUUAAGUGUCCCACCUGGGGAGUACGCCGGCAACGGUGAAACUCAAAGGAAUUGACGGGG
rnacentral:rRNA from 1 species